rnacentral:misc_RNA from 1 species
GAUGAAGAACGUAGCGAAAUGCGAUAAGUAAUGUGAAUUGCAGAAUUCAGUGAAUCAUCGAAUCUUUGAACGCACAUUGCGCCCCCUGGUAUUCCGGGGGGCAUGCCUGUUCGAGCGUCAUUUCACCACUCAAGCCUCGCUUGGUAUUGGGCAUCGCGGUCCGCCGCGCGCCUCAAAUCGACCGGCUGGGUCUUCUGUCCCCUAAGCGUUGUGGAAACUAUUCGCUAAAGGGUGUUCGGGAGGCUACGCCGUAAAACAACCCCAUUUCUAAGGUUGACCUCAGAUCAGGUAGGGAUACCCGCUGAACUUAAGCAUAUCAAUAAGCGGAGGA